CAGUGCUCUACAAAGAUGCUGUCUUGGAUUCCAAAGGCAGUUAAACCUCUUAGCAUGCAGCUAUGAUGAAGCUACUAAUGAAGCCCGGUACUAAUUAGCUGGCACACAGUACUUAUUUCAGGCAAAAAAAAUGCUGUUAUUAAUGAAAGCUCUACUUUUUUAAAUUUUAGAUCUGGGCCAAAAGUGUAUGUCUUGCCAGUAAACUGCACCAAUGAUGUGGGUGAGUCCUCAGUUUUGAGUGCCUGCAUCUCUGCCAUACAGGUUUGAUGGCUCCACGAGAGCCUGCUCAGUAUGCGCUGCUGCAGUGCAAAUACAAAGGGCUGCAACCCGUGAUAAACAAGUCUGUAUAAUUCCCAACUGCGUAACAGAGACUUCGUUUCUGUAUAUGCUUAUUAGCCAUGUUUACAGUGCAUUGAAAAUUAUCGUGUCCAUCAACUUACAUGUACAAUCAAGGCUACUAAUUUCACCUUUUUGCAAUCGUAAACACUCUUAAAUGCUAGGUACUUCAAAGUGUACUACAAAAAAAUACUUACUGCCCUCUGUUAACUUCUACUGGCAAAGAUUCCACAAAACACAUUAAAAUGUGAAAGCUUUAUAAUGCUUCUCAAGGCUUUCAAGAUAGCCGUUUAAUACUCGGCUUUCUUUAGGUAGUUAUUUUGCACAAGUAAACGUUCUUGGGAGGGAAAAAUCCAGCCCAAGAAACUGACAUAUCUCUUUGGAUGAAAAUGAAGAUUAGAUGCAGAAUUUUAUUUAUUUACUUCAGUUUAACUUUUGUAAUUCCACAAAGCGUUAUGGAAGAAAUGUAAUAGCAUAAGUGGGCUGUAUGAGCAGUUAUGUCUCAUAACUGAGACAAAAGUGGAAAUAAUGUUCUAUAUUUUUGGAGGUAACUCGUAGCAGUUUUUCCCACCCUUUUCAGUUAUGGUCCUGGGAUAAUUUAAAAUGUUCCUGUCCGGAAAAGGGUAUGUUGAGCGAUGCUGAUUGAACUGUUUUAUGCCUGUACUUCAUUUAAUUUCCACUGAAGUAAGGGGAAUGGAAGGUGAGUUAAAUAUAGUUUGGUGUUUGCUGAUGGCUAGAAAUUGAAUUUACACACAGCAGCGUGUGUGUGUUUUGUUUUGUUUUUUUGUUUUGUUUUUUUGUUUAGGAGACAAUUUUAUUUUAAAAAAUUAAAUACAAUUCUUAGUACUUCAUUUGCAUUACAAAAGAAGACUUUGCCAAAAGCGUCUUUGGCCUUCAGUCUCUCUUUAAAUGUGUUAGGGAAAAAAAUAAACACAUACUUUUAAAUAUCAUAUGAAUGAUUUGAUCUUUUUGAAAUCCACCUGUUCUUUUAAAUAUACUUGAGUAUUGUUCUCAGUUCAUUAGCAUGGAUUUGUGGUACAAGAUACAUUCCAAUCAGCUAUUUUAACCGUUAGUCACCUAUUGCAUUAACUGGAUUAAAUAGCAAUCAGAAUUUGUUUUUGUCAGCAUAGCAGCUGCCAGAGAAGAUUUAAUAAGCUGCCUGACUCUUCUUUUGUAUGUUUUAAAUUCUUAUUUUUACAGUUGUGGCUGUUUGGUUUGAAAGGUGCUAACUGAAACUUUGUGCAGGCGGCCAUCGCUCCACAAGUCCACGAUGCUGGGGUAAUCCUGCACUAAAAGACGAAGAACAAAUCAGUGGACUUCCUACUCCUUUUAGAGUAGGAAUUUCUCAGGCUAUAACCAAAAGGUUCAUGCGACUGUUUGCCACUACUUUAAGUGUGUGGUUUGAGUGUGUGUAUUCUAUCGUUGUAUUUGUCUAGUGGAUCACUUCUUACACGUGCUUUCUAGAGGAAAAAGAAGUGCAUCUAGAAAAGGUCCUGUGUCAGUUUCUUUUAAAAAAAAAAAACUUAAGGCUAUUGAUGAGUGUAUAUUAUCUGUACAGAAAUAUCAUAUACUCUACAUGAGAGUGUAAAAACAGGCUGAAACUGCUGUUUAUUUGUUUAUUUGUGCAUGGAUAUUUUGCACCCUCAGCUCUCUGAUGCACCAUCGACAUAGCUUUUGCAUAGAUAGGGUUGCUUCUCCAAUAAGUCUGUGGUUUUGUGCCAAGGGAAAGGAAGGAUACAGAACAGCACAGAAAAGAGAUGGGGUUUUAUUACCUAUAUAUAAUACGUGACCUCUGUGUGUCUCCUCUGUCGGUAGGGAGAGACUGAGAACAGUUACAGGAGCUUUUCUUUGCUGUAAAGCAUGGCUAAAAGCUGUGUAAUGAGGCAAGAUCUUUGUUAGCUGGUGAUAGAUUCAGUACAGCUGGAGGCCCGUUUCAUUCUAAUUCUCAUUUUUAAGAAUUCAUCUUAUACCUAACCAUCCCAGCUGUCACACAUGUAGCACCAGAACUUUACUUGGUAUUGUUUUGGCAUCUAAAGCUUCUUAACUUUCUUAAAUAUGUUAUAUUGAGAUUUGUGUUUAACCAAAUUUUUGCUGAAACCAGACAUCUUUGCUGCUGCGUUCUGGCUAUGUUCUUUCCUCCUAUGCGCAUAAACUAAAACUUGACUGUAGUCUUUGUGUUGGCAAAAUGACAACCACUCAAGGAUUUGGAAACUGAGUUAUUGAACAUCAAGUAUUGGAUAGUAAUGGUCUGAGUGUAUUGUUACUGCAUUGAGCUGUUAAGUAUUUCAUGGCAGCUUCAAAGAAAAGGGAUGCAUUACAUUUAUUGUGGAGCAAAUGGGUGCACUGUUUGCAUAAUUGUAACUUGCCUGAUGUAAUGUGUAACACACUGCUGCUUGUUAUGAUGCCUAAGUGACACUUUCUUGUCAUUUUUUAUUUUAUUCUACUUCUUGUUGCCUGCAGCUCUAACUGGAAUUGGUUUUGAACUUGCUUUUUUGGGAUCGUUUUUACUACAUUUUACUGCAUUAAUUGCUAUAUGGAGAACAGUUUACCCAUGGACUGUAACGGCUCUGUUGCUGAAAGUCUCUGUUUGCUAAGUAGAUUUUUUUCCUAGUAUUUUUCAUCCAAAUGCUUUACAGGCUUUAAAUCAUAUGCCUUAUGGGAAUUAAACUAUUUUCAAUCGCUUUGACUUUGCACCUGUCACUAAUACCUUUGUAUAAGUUUUAAUCCUCUUGGAAGCAACAAUGGGCAAAACAAAACUCCCACCUGAAGCCAAAUUUACUUUUCAAUGAGUCCUAAAACAGCAACAAAAAAGUUGAAUAUCAUAAUGCUAAUGACCUUUAACUUUUUUUGGAAUUGUUUCUUAUUCUAUCGUUCUACGUGAGGUUACGGUAAUGGUAAUAUAUCCCUUUCCGUUAUUCUGUUUAUUCUUUAAGCAUUACUCUUCUGCUAGGUGUUCCUUACUGAAUUCUCUUAACAGCAUCAUCUCAGUCCCUUAUCUAAAAACAUGGACGCUACUUUGGUAUCUCUGUGACUCAGGGCAGUCCUUUCCGCUCACAAGCAAAAGUAAAUAGAUCGGAUCAGAAUGGUAGUGGAGAGAAGAGAAAGGGAAGACAUAACAUGUAGCUUUAUGAAACCUCAGUGCUUUCCACAAAACUACUUGUCCUCUUUGCCCCAAAUAUCCUGACAGAGUGUUCCUCUUCAGCAGUGAUGCAUAAUUGGUGAAAGAGCCAGCUGUCACCUUCCCCAAAUUUUAUUUUCUGAUUUAGUGUCCAGUGGAUGAGCAGGUGAAUCAGGGAAUUAAGUAUUUGCUCUGUUUUUACAAUCCUAAAUAAUCCUUUGCUAGGUAAGAAUGCUUUACUGUUAGUGUGGUAGAUUGCUGCUCUUGAAGGCUGUGCUGGUGCUACUGAACGUUUCUGCUCUGAUUUUUAUUUUAUUUUAUUUUAUUUUUUUCCCCCCAUUUCCUGCCAACGCUGUGUGACGCUGCAAUAUCUGAGUGGUGUACCUGGAAAAAUGGAAAAUGCUCGAGACUGUAGCAAAGGAAGAAUGAAGACAGGAAGGAAGACAGGAAGAAUGAAAGGGUUCAAGCUGUUCUGCAGUGCGACAUCUUAUAUUAGACACUACUGCUAAGUACUGACAUCUUGGGAUGACAAAAAAUGAAAACAAUGGAUUCAAACAUCAUCAUUCUCAAAUAGAUUCUGAGCGUUCCAGCUACUACUUAUGAUCUAUUUGGACAACAGAAAGGACAAUACUACUUUAAGAACUCAGAAACUUUCUGAACAGAAGUCAUUAUAAACAAAGAAGAAAUAGUGAGAGUUUUGAUGAAAGAUGUAUCAGUCUUCUGAAAGCGCAGAGCAGUUGGAGAAGCAGAGUGCUCUUGAAGGAAAACUUAACAAGUUGCUCAAACACCUGCUUGCCAUGAGGCAAACACUGAGCUGAAUAUUUGCCCCAGGACAGGAGUCCUGGGAGAGAGCUUACCACAUCCUCCCAGCAGCGGAUAAAUCAUGUGACUAGAUGUCAUCAAUCUCUGGAGGAAUGCAAUAGAGAAGCAACGUAAAUGGUUCUUCUGCAAAAGUUUUCAGUGAGAGCCCUUAUGUGCGCAUAGAAUCCUUGCAGGAGAUCUCGUACGCUGACUCCUCAGCAAACUUCAGGCUCAUCUCUACCCUUUAAGGCAGCUCAGAGCCUUGGAUCCCAACCCAUGCAAGUCUUCUCCAGACUGCGCUUUAUUCCCUUCUCUCAGCCCUGAAUCAGGGCUUGAACCUGAACCCUUGAAUCAGAGUUGUCUCUUGCUUUGCUGGCUAACUCUUCUGAAUGGAGGCACUUCUUAUAGGCCUUGUUUCAAAUAAUGUAGGUAAUCUCACUGAAUUUAUUCACCACUUAGGAAUUUGGUUAAUAGCUUUUUGAAUCUGCGGUAAAGAUAGUCACUUCAUGACACGCUGCUUCAGCUUCCCUUUUUCCCCUGUUGCGUUUUUGGUCAAGAGGUAAGGUUGUGCAGGAGGAUUUCUAAUCUGAGAACCUUCUUCAAAUCCUCGUUAUCCAGCAGCUCCAGGUCGUGUCGGACAUGGAUGCACCCUGAGUGGAAAGGCGCAUGUUCUCUCUGUUGGCACGACAGGGCUGCAAGUCUGCCUUCUCAGGGCUUCCGCCCUGCCGGUUGGAGCAGUGGCGUUAAUGGGUGCAUUGAUGGCUGCAGCCUGGUUAAACUGACCAUCCCCUGGAAAUACUAAUUAUAGCUGCCUUUCUGGCAAACUAGUUGAGAUUCGCUGAGGUAGAGCUGUUCUCCAAAGAGAGGUAGCAAAGCUUCCUGAGCUAUGAUACAUGCCUCCCUUCGUAUCAGUAAUUGCUAGCUAUGCUUCCACCUGUGUUUUCUCCUCUGCUUCUAUCAUUUAUGGCCGUUGUUGCUUCUAAGAGCUGGGAGAAGAUGGGAUAAUGAGUUAAAAGUAGAGAAUUUCAGGUAAAUUUGGCUGACAAGGGAGCGGUGCAUUAAUGGAUGCAUACUCCGUGUUUCUUAAAAGAAACACUGUCAGUAGCCAGAAAGGAGCUAGGCUCAUGCAGGGAGCAGUGGGGCUGUUGCAGCAGGGAGCCACUUGCACCAAUCCUCUGCCUGGCUGCAGCCUUCAGAGAGGGGCAAGGCUGUGAGGGGAAGCGAGCAGCACGGGCAGAUCCUGCCUCAGCGUUUGUGAAUCGUUGCGCUCGGAGUGGUCCACCGCUGCGGAAAUACAGACUAGACCUGAAAGCUAAGGGUUG